GCACACCCGAGCCUGAGACAACAGCUCUGCUAAGUGCCCUUGAGAGGGCACGGUGGGGUCAGCACCAAAGUCAGACCACUAAAGAGAAAAAGAGAGAAAGACAGGAUUGCAGAGGAGAAAUGAGAAUGGCAGAAAAAAUAAUUUUUUAAGCCAAAAGGAAUCAGAGAAGAGCAGAAGUGCCUCUAGGAUAAAGCGUAGCAGGCAGUUAGGGAAAAAGGGCUGUUAACUACCUUGAAGCUCUGACUACAUUAGAAAGCCUCGCAAGACAGUCGUUGCUUGCACGGGCAGGUAGAGAACUUUUCCUGUCCAUUGUUCUUCUGAAUUAUAAAUCACUGACCUCUUUAUGAUUUCUAAAGGGAAAAUGACUUCAAGCUUCUUAGAGUUCCCCUAAGGCAUUCUCUAUAUUCAAUAUAAUAUGGGAAGCCCUGGGUUUGUCUUUGUAUGUUUCAUCUGCAGUGACCUGAAAUCUUCAUAACCCUCUUCCUUUCUCCACUUAUCAACUAAGGGGUGGUUGGCAAUAAGGAUGGGUGGGAGAGAAAAAAAAACAGAAUUUGAGGAGGAGAGCAUUUAAACCAUCAGACUGUGUGUUCUGUGACAUCAAAGACUGGCAACAUUCUAAAGGAAAAGCAGCUGUGAAGUCAUAAUUAUGUUCACUUCCCACUGGCAACUGGCAAGCCCUUUAUUUUUGUGCAUUCGGAACUCACCAAGAAUAAAUAAAGUCCAUUCCCUCCUUGAAAAAAAAAAAAAAAAAAAAAAAAAAAA
rnacentral:lncRNA from 1 species